UGGGGAAUAUUGCACAAUGGGCGCAAGCCUGAUGCAGCGACGCCGCGUGGGGGAUGACGGCCUUCGGGUUGUAAACCUCUUUCGCCUACGACGAAGCGAGAGUGACGGUAGUAGGAGAAGAAGCACCGGCCAACUACGUGCCAGCAGCCGCGGUAAUACGUAGGGUGCGAGCGUUGUCCGGAAUUACUGGGCGUAAAGAGCUCGUAGGCGGUUUGUCGCGUCGUCCGUGAAAACUUGGGGCUUAACCCCAAGCUUGCGGGCGAUACGGGCAGACUGGAGUACUGCAGGGGACACUGGAAUUCCUGGUGUAGCGGUGAAAUGCGCAGAUAUCAGGAGGAACACCGGUGGCGAAGGCGGGUCUCUGGGCAGUAACUGACGCUGAGGAGCGAAAGCGUGGGUAGCG
rnacentral:rRNA from 1 species